rnacentral:tRNA from 1 species
CCUGGUGGCUAAGCAGUAAAGAAUUUGCCUGCUGUGCAAGAGACACAGGUUCGAUUCCUAUGUCAGGA